rnacentral:tRNA from 1 species
GCUGAUGUGGCUCAGGGGUAGAGCAGCGCACUCGUAAUGCGCAGGUCGCCGGUUCAAAUCCGGCCAUCAGCUCCA